rnacentral:rRNA from 1 species
GAUGAACGCUAGCUACAGGCUUAACACAUGCAAGUCGAGGGGUAACGAGAGGGAAGCUUGCUUUCCUUGUCGACGACCGGCGCACGGGUGAGUAACGCGUAUCCAACCUGCCCCCAACUAGGGAAUAACCUUGCGAAAGUAAGACUAAUACCCUAUAAUUUCCUCAGAUGUCAUCUGACGAGGAAUAAAGAUUUAUCGGUUGUGGAUGGGGAUGCGUCUGGUUAGCUUGUUGGCGGGGUAACGGCCCACCAAGGCAACGAUCAGUAGGGGUUCUGAGAGGAAGGUCCCCCACAUUGGAACUGAGACACGGUCCAAACUCCUACGGGAGGCAGCAGUGAGGAAUAUUGGUCAAUGGGCGGAAGCCUGAACCAGCCAAGUAGCGUGCGGGAUGACGGCCCUAUGGGUUGUAAACUGCUUUUAUACAGGAAUAAAGUUAGCCACGUGUGGUUAUUUGUAGGUACUGUAUGAAUAAGGACCGGCUAAUUCCGUGCCAGCCGCCGCAGUAA